UCCUCAAUUUAUCACAGUCGUCACUUAAACAUUUUAUAUAUAAUUAUAUUACAAUUACAAUAUUAUACAGUAAACACACCGUUUGUUGUGCUGUUAAAUUCAGCAGGCAAAUGUCAGUAUUAAAGACAUGACACGAGCAUGCACCCCCACAGGGCUACAUGCUUCAAUCUAAACCACAUGGAACAUACGAAAAAUAAAAACUGAAUAUCCAUCAUCAUGAAUGUGUGAACAAAGGUAAUACAAGGUAAAUAUAAAGCCUGAAUGGAGAAUGUUGUUGGGGCAUUGGCAUGGCAUUAUGUAAAACAGUUCAUACUGUCACUAUUUACAGAAGGAGAGGUGAGUAUCACAUGAUCACGGUCUCAGUGUGCAGAGAAUAGGGCAUGAAGUUCCGGUGUUUGAGUGCAGGACUUGGAGGCCUGGUCAGGGGACUGUGGGUCCUGGUGAGAGGGCUUGGCGGCCGGUACAUUGGGCCGGAUGGGGUACUGAUUCUUGCAGAAGGGGUACAGCUGGCCCAUCUGGACGGAGGCCUUUGAUUGGCUGGUCGAGCUGGCCUUGAAAAGCUCUUAGGCUUUGCAGUGAGAACAUCUGUGCUAUCCUGGAAUGAGAACAAAAACAUUUGGAAUAAUUACUUUUUUGUAGAUUCAGUCUAAAGACCUGAACAGGUCCAAGCAUGACCUACCGGCUCAGUGUCUUGUCUGUAUGUUGUGCCAUUGGAGUAUUCAUGCUGUAUGUCCAGCAUGUCCAGUAGCUCGAUGAGUCCUUCAUCCCUGAGCCCAAUUCUCUUCUUCACAGCCACUGGGGACCCGUUUACACCUGUGUGGUCCAUUUUAAACUCCCCCUGGUGGACAGCUGUCCUCCUCGCUCUGUCUUUGUCUGUUCCGCUUUGAGCCCGGGGCCGAGGUUUGGGACUGCCCUGCACCUGUGCCCUGCGCUGAGACUGCUGUGGACUGGGUUGGCCUUUGGGGGCGCUGUAGCCUCCUCUCUGAUCCUUGUGGUUCUGUCGCCCACAGUCUGUUGCUGGGGGUCUCUCUUGGCUGGUCUCUGCCUCUGCUGUCUGCACGUCACAAUCAGCUUGGCAUUUCUGUGUAGGCACACGUCCUGGCAUCCGUCCCCCCAGAGCCUUGCGCUGACAGCUGGGGGUGGGACACUUUGGCUCUGUGGUCUGAGAUGGAGGCGACACCACCCCGCUCUCAGUGAGCAGUUUGCCCUCAUUUUCAUGGAGCAUGGCUCCAAACUUCCUCAGCACUGAGGGACUGCCCUUCAUGUCUACAAGCCCACCUAGACCAAAGCACUUCCGCUCAAGAGCUGGAGAUUCGACCGACCCACCUGGACGUGGUUGUGUUUCUCGCUGUUUAAAAGGGGGCUUUCCACCUCCAUUUUCUUUAUUUGUUAAACCUUCUUUGCUUUUCACCUGGGUCACACGAUUCUUCUUGUUUUCAUUCUCCACAAAACUUCCAAAAAACUGCUCUUGGCCAUUUCUGGGGAAAAAA
ensembl:lncRNA